rnacentral:lncRNA from 1 species
GGGAGAGAGUAUAUUUGGUUGGACAGCUGCUCAAAUUGAGCCUUUUGUUUACAGGUGGAAAUGAAGCUCCUGUGUUGCCAGAUUUCAAUUUUCAAGAAAAACUUAACAAUUUAUAUUUUUUAUUUGAAGUCUGUCAAUUGUUAAAUGUUGGCCAUGCAUUCAAAUAUCAGGCCAUUUCCUACAGAUGCAUCAUAAAACAAAGAAGAACAGAAAGGCAUGUUCCAGUCUUCCUUGUGUUUUGUGCACAGAAAGACACAGACCAACAAAACCUGUUGCAUUAUAGACCAUCUCAUGACCCAAAGACAAGGAAUGUCUACGUUCUCAUUAAAAUGGCAAAGCACGUG